GGGGAUUACAGGCCUGCACCGCCACGCUGUUUCUUUGUCUUGGAUUUUAACCCACAUUGUGUUUGGUUUUCUCCACAGUCCUUGUACAGAAGUCCACACUCUCCAUGGUGCCAAUGGUGGUACUGCUCAGCCCCGAUCUCGGGGCUCAGGUGAAUGUGGGCCCAUUCAGAAAGGAUACUUGCUCUGGGAUGGGAGAUCCUGAGGCACAGGUUGAGCUCUGUGAGUCAGGUUUUGUGAGACCCAGAGCAGCUCACAGCUCCAUGACCAACGAGGGGCAGAAACAUGGCAUUGAGAGAAAACAUGAUGAUGAUUCUGUGCUCCGGGAGAGGCUUCACACAGAGGAGCAGAACACGGCUGCCAAGUUGCC
rnacentral:lncRNA from 1 species